GGUCGUCCGGACGCCGGCACCCCCUGCCGCUUUGGCCACUCCUGUUGGGCUCUGCUGCCUGGGCCUUCAUCUUCAGCAGUCGCUCUACGGCCACCUGUAAGAGCAGGGGACUGCGAUAGACAAGAACUGGGAGGAAUCUGGGCCCACCAACUAUUCCAAAGGCUACUGUGAGGAGUACAUGAGAUGAUGCCCAGCGAGCGCUUUGCUUGCUGGAAGCCCAGAUGGCUACAAGGGGAACUCUGUAAAGGCGUGGAGUGCCUACACCGUAUGCCCUCAAAGCACAGAAAUAUGGCAGAAUAAGAACCCAACAAAAGCAGCAGCUGGCGACUGACUCCAACAAUGCACACCACCACUGGCAAGUAGGUUCACACAUGCCAAAGUGAGGCACCAGCACCACCGGCAGCAAGGCCCAGCUCCACAAUGACCCACGUCCCUAGAUCCAAUGGACAUCCUACCAGGUCUUUCCACAGCAUUCCUACCAAUGGCUCCCCACUGCUUCUGGAAUAAAUAGCUCCAGGGGCUCUGCAUAUGCUGCCUACUUCUGCGACACCUCUUACAC